CUUAAACCCUGACCAUAAGGAGUUUAAAUUCAGAAGUCAUCAGAAGUCAGAGAGAGAGAGAGACAAUAUGGAUCAUACAAACUGGAUUACAUACUAACCAACUGAAUGCUGGAGCUUUUGAGGACAUCUCUCUCCAUGCCUGUUCCUGGGUGAUAUCUGAUACCACGUAUCACGCUUCUUUCCCCACCCCAAGAUGAGGAUGCACAAGGGGGAAGAACCAUUGUGGCUCCUUGGAGUGGACGAGGCUUAAACCUUGACCAUGAGGAGUUUAAAUUCCAACACCAGAAGUCAUACUCUGCAUAUGUGUGCAUCAGUGUGUGUGUGUGUGUGCGUGCAUGGAUCAUACAAACUGGAUUACAUACUAACCAACUGAAUGCUGGAGCCUUUGAGGGCAUCUGGACAGUCAGAAUCUACCUCAUGAGAAUCUCAUCACUGCAGAACCAGGGGAGAAUGAGAUCAUCUAUCCCGAUGCAAGCAUACGCUCAGACGCCACCUGUUGGACUUCAACUGCACGCUCCACAACAGACUUCCUGUAACAGGGUGCCUAGCCCUACAGCGCAGGGGCUAUUAUUAUAUUACGCACAACAAAGUGUGUCAAAUCAACAAAACAAUCAUCAAAGUAAUCAACAGUCUCAUGUGUUAUGGAACGGCCAGUCUUCCUCCCAGCCUGUUUCAAGUUCAUGUAAUUUGCAGUCGAGACCUAGGCCUCAAACGUGGUUUACCGACUCGCAGAAUGGGUUGCUUCUCAGAAGUUCAACUUGUGUGGGAAGUUCUUUACCAAAUGGACAGGUUGCACCAUUGCCAGCUGCUCAGCAUGGACCCUCCACUCAAAACCUCAGCCAUCAUCCCCAGACCUUGAAUAGACAUACUGUUCCUCAGCAGAACUAUAAUAUGCCACACUUGCACAACGUCAGUAAUACAAAUGUUCCUUGGUUCCCUUCGAAUUAUAGCAAUCCAAGUUCUGCAACUGAACAGAAUAAGCUGACGCAUCAGUCAGUUCUACCUCAGUACCAGUCUCUGAAUGAACAUCAUAACAGAAUGCAGAUUGCGCAUCAACCUGCAGCUCAGCCGCAACAAACAGAUCGGUCUGCUCAGAUUCUGCACAAUCAGGCACAGCAGAAAAUUCACAAUAAUCAAGCUCAGAUAACAGGAGGAAAAGGAAAUGGUGCUUUAUAUAACUCUGUUAACCACUUCCCUGCUACUUCACAAAGACUCAUCACUCCAUCCCAGCCUUCAAACUACAGUCAGCAGACUGGUCAGAGCCACGCAAGCUAUAACGGGAAUCACGCUCAGCAUUCAUCACAAAUCCAGCAUCAGCCUUCGCCAUACAGAACAGAGACCAAUUCUUCCGGUUACGGUCAUUUAAAACACAGCGAGAACAAGCAUCAAAAUUUACAGUCACACCCAUCCCCACCAUACCCAGAGCAGAGGAGAAAGCAGAGGAAAAAUCAAAGUUCAGCAUUAAGGUUACCCCAGGACAAUUUCCAGGACCAGACUUCACUCCAACAAUGCAACACUACACUAGAUUCUGGCCAUCAAAGCCAGACAUGCCAUCCUACUGUGUCUGCCAUUCAAGGCAACACAUGGCCACAAGAAUCAAAUGAUGCAAGCGCUGGACUCCCUAGGUCCUCACAAAUUACAAUAUCUUCAGACACUCCUACCAGAGGAGUACCACCACUCAAGCUAAUAAAUUGUCUGGUAGGGAAAUACAAGGCACCUGCUCAAAGGCAUGUCACUAAUCCUCUGCCGUGCCUCAAGGCCAGCUUUACCACCCAGGGGCAAACACCCAGUCACAUUACACCUAAUGCAAGCUACCCUCAGACACCAGAAUCUACCCCAUGCUGUAGUGCACUUGCAACCCUUCACAGUAAAAUACUCCAAAGGAUCAGCAGUAAGCAGACAUCUGUCAAAAGAACAGCCAUCUUAAAAGAGAACGAACAUGCCGCUUGGUAAUCAGUUGAAAGCACCACAUGGUCAAAGCUUUGAAGGGAUGCAGAACAGAAGAUUGCAGUUAGACUCGAACAUCGAGAGAAAAGAUGAACAAAACGGCAAUAACUGUCAUGUAGAGGUGCAGUACAGUGAGGAUGUAGCUGAGUAUCUAGAGCUGGUAAGGGCACUGCAGAAAAUGUAUCGACAAUUCCACAAAGCAGUAGCUGUAGUUCCACCCAUUUCUCAGCAGCCCCCCAGUCCAGAAAAAAAUGAUCAUGUCCCCACAAGCGCCGAUGACAGCCUGCCUUUCAAGAUCGAUGCUGUCUGUACUCUUGUUAAGGAGGGCAAGAAUGUGGAGCAAGAGUCAAAUGCACCAAGUCUGCCCAAAGAGACCAUCAAGGAAUUACUGCAGUUGUUUUCAAUACCAGACCCCGAGACACAGGAACCUAACAAACCUGAAGAUGGAUCUACAGUUGACAGCCUAAUACCUGACACUCAAAGCACAGACAUUCCUCAGUCUCAAAUUGACUCUUCCACAUCUCAAGACCCUGUUUGCUCUACUGUCUUGACCUCAAAAAGUGCAGAGGAUCACAACGAAGUCCAAACUGGUCAGUCAAAUGGCAACAUGUUUGAUGUGUCCAAGAUACAAGUGCUUAAUUUUACACCGAAGAAAUUUAUUGAGUUUGUGAAGAUUUUAGAAAACACAACAGAAGGAAGUGUAAAAGAGCCAGUGGCAGAUGUUAAGAAGUGUCUCUUGGAUCUCUAUUGGGACGGAAGCGUAAUAAACCUUGUUAAACAAAUACAAACAGUCACUGAAGAGAUAUCUGGCUUCUCUACUGAAGUGUCCAUAAAAGAAAUGCAGACAGCAGUUUUUCACUACCUUAAACCUGAACUGUUAAUGAUGCUGGAACAUGGUUACCACAUUCUGAAAGAUGACACAAACUUACCAGCUGAGGACUUUACGUCGUCAUGGUUGAACAUCGAUGGACAGCCUGCUGAUGUAGACAGUGUUCUUUCGGAACCAAUUUUGGACUUUAACUUUACCGAUUAUGCUUUACACGGAAGUUUCAACGCACUUGAUAUUUAUUCCGAGUUUGAACCUUCUACAAAGGUGAUCCCUCCAACAACUGACUGCCAGGAUGACCAGAUGAUUAACAAAGAGCUUGCAAACACACAGGUAUGUGAAAGUAAAUCCACCGAUAAAGUCUCCAGCACACAAGAAGCAUCAAAGAAGCAAGAAGAUGAAAACCUUGAGAAACAUCAGCAGCAAGAUGUAAAUACGAAUCCUGAAGAAUCUGUAGAUGCAAAUGAAAUAGCAGACACACUGACUGAGAGCGAAACCGAAUGCGAACAAGUCUGCGGAGAUGCAAGUGAGAAUAUCACUUCCUCUGAAAUGGUUGAACAGAGCUAUCUUUCUAAUGAUGAUUCCAGCAAUGACUCCCAAUUAAUUGAACUCUCACUUUUGUCAUCUGAUGAUGCUAGAACCAUUUUUAAGGAAUACUCUGGUUCUGAUUUACAAAAAGAGCCAUGCCAAGAUGAAGCAAAGGGUUCCACCACCUCAGACAAUAAGUCUAAUGAGUUCUGCAAUUCAACCAAUCAAAUCAAAUUUACUUGCCCUCAUGUGACCUACAUCGACUGGAAUGGUGACGAUUUCUGUCCCAGGUGCUGGGAAGAAACUCCUUUGCUG
ensembl:lncRNA